rnacentral:rRNA from 1 species
UACAGAGGUCUCAAGCGUUGUUCGGAUUCAUUGGGCGUAAAGGGUGCGUAGGCGGUCUUGUAAGUGUGAAGUGAAAUCUCCAGGGCUCAACCCGGAAACUGCUUCGCAUACUGCAAGACUAGAGGGAUGCAGAGGUAUGUGGAAUUUCCUGGUGUAGCGGUGAAAUGCGUUUGAUAUCAGGGAGGAACACCCAUGGCGAAGGCAGCAUACUGGGCAUCAUCUGACGCUGAGGCGCGAAAAGCGUGGGUAGCAAACAGG